rnacentral:rRNA from 1 species
AUUGAACGCUGGCGGCAUGCCUUACACAUGCAAGUCGAACGGUAACAGGUCUUCGGAUGCUGACGAGUGGCGAACGGGUGAGUAAUACAUCGGAACGUGCCUAGUAGUGGGGGAUAACUACUCGAAAGAGUGGCUAAUACCGCAUGAGAUCUACGGAUGAAAGCAGGGGAUCGCAAGACCUUGUGCUACUAGAGCGGCCGAUGGCAGAUUAGGUAGUUGGUGGGAUAAAAGCUUACCAAGCCGAAGAUCUGUAGCUGGUCUGAGAGGACGAUCAGCCACACUUGGACUGAGACACGGCCCAGACUCCUACGGGAGGCAGCAGUGGGGAAUGUUGGACAAUGGGCGCAAGCCUGAUCCAGCAAUGCCGCGUGCAGGAUGAAGGCCUUCGGGUUGUAAACUGCUUUUGUACGGAACGAAAAGCCCUGGGUUAAUACCCUGGGGUCAUGACGGUACCGUAAGAAUAAGCACCGGCUAACUACGUGCCAGCCGCCGCAGUAACAC